rnacentral:rRNA from 1 species
GGUAAACGCUGGCGGCGUGCCUAAAACAUGCAAGUCGAACGGGCAAUCUUCGGAUUGUCAGUGGCAGACGGCUGAGUAACGCGUGGGUGACGUACCUAUCAGUGGGGAAUAACUGCCCGAAAGGGUGGCUAAUUCCGCAUUCGCCCGGGUCUUCGGUGAUCUGGGGAAAGCUUUGUGAGAGGCGCUGACGGAGCGGCCCGCGUUCGAUUAGCUGGUUGGUGGGGUAACGGCCGUACCAAGGCGACGAUCGAUAGCUGGUCUUAGAGGAUGAUCAGCCAGACUGGGACUGAGACACGGCCCA